GACACUGAAUAGCAAAGCAAUCCUGAGCAAAAUUAACAAAGCUGAAGGCACCACACUACCUGACUUUAACAUUAUCAGAAAGCUAUAGUAACCAGAGCAGGCUGGUAUUGACAUAAAAACAGACACAUAAACCAAUGGACUAGAAUAGAGACCACUGAAAUAUUUUAA